UAUUUAUGCAGUUAUGUAUAAUCGUCCUAUCGAAACGGGAUGCCCAAAACCAUCCCAUUUUUCGUACUCUUUUUUACAUUUCGGUUGACGGAAUUAAUGUUUUAUGGUAUUGUAAAUCUAUGCCCAAUAAGGGCAAUGUAGUAAUUUUUUUAGGAGGAAUUUCCAUGAAAGGUACAGUUAAGUGGUUCAGUGCAGAAAAAGGCUACGGCUUUAUUGAAAGAGAAGAAGGCGGCGACGUAUUCGUUCAUUUCUCCGCUAUCCAGGCUGAUGGCUUCAAAACACUGAAUGAAGGCCAGAAGGUUGAUUUUGAAAUCAUUGAUGGUGCAAGAGGACCUCAGGCUGCUAACGUUAAA
rnacentral:sRNA from 1 species